UUGGACUGUAAGUUUAAAAAUAAAGGUAUAACACGAUUGGUUUGUAAUCAACGCUUUAAAAAAAAAUAAGGUUGUAAGUCAGACUUAAAGCCCAACCAAUCAUGCACUAAAUGAGUCUAAAUUAGUAUUGUUCAAUCCGGAGCUGGAAAGGAUCUAGCCCUUGAAUUUUCUAUUAUAUAUAAAAUUCGUAUAAAUGUUAACCAUACAUUUUUUUACCUUUAAGAAUAGUUUACCCUAUUUUAAAAGUAAAUUAAAAGCAAAUAAAAA
rnacentral:sRNA from 1 species